GUCAGGGUUUUUUGCAGUUCUGUACAAAUUUUUGGAUGACUUAUUCUAGUUCUGCGAAAAAUGCUAUUGGUAUUUUGAUAGAGAUUGCAUUAAAUCUGUAGAUUACUUUUGGGUAGUGUGGACAUUUUAACAAUA